GUGGGGAAUUUUGGACAAUGGGCGAAAGCCUGAUCCAGCCAUGCCGCGUGCAGGAUGAAGGCCUUCGGGUUGUAAACUGCUUUUGUACGGAACGAAAAGACUCCUUCUAAUAAAGGGGGUCCAUGACGGUACCGUAAGAAUAAGCACCGGCUAACUACGUGCCAGCAGCCGCGGUAAUACGUAGGGUGCAAGCAUUAAUCGGAAUUACUGGGCGUAAAGCGUGCGCAGGCGGUUAUAUAAGACAGAUGUGAAAUCCCCGGGCUCAACCUGGGAACUGCAUUUGUGACUGUAUAGCUAGAGUACGGUAGAGGGGGAUGGAAUUCCGCGUGUAGCAGUGAAAUGCGUAGAUAUGCGGAGGAACACCGAUGGCGAAGGCAAUCCCCUGGACCUGUACUGACGCUCAUGCACGAAAGCGUGGGGAGCAAACAGGAUUAGAAACCCCAGUAGUCC
rnacentral:rRNA from 1 species